rfam:Lupinus angustifolius cultivar Tanjil chromosome LG18, whole genome shotgun sequence.
CAUCGCGCGGUCUCUAAUUCGCUUGGUGCAGGUCGGGAACCGCUGCUGCUUCGGCACGUAUUGAAGGGUGCGGUGGUUGCCGGCGGCGAAUUGGAUCCCGCCUUGCAUCAACUGAAUCGGAGGCCGCUUGGUUU